rnacentral:rRNA from 1 species
AGCGAACGCUGGCGGCAGGCCUAACACAUGCAAGUCGAACGAAGUCUUCGGACUUAGUGGCGGACGGGUGAGUAACACGUGGGAACGUGCCCUUUGGUACGGAAUAACUCAGGGAAACUUGAGCUAAUACCGUAUGUGCCCUGCGGGGGAAAGAUUUAUCGCCAUUGGAGCGGCCCGCGUCUGAUUAGCUAGUUGGUGAGGUAAAGGCUCACCAAGGCGACGAUCAGUAGCCGGUCUGAGAGGAUGAUCAGCCACAUUGGGACUGGGACACGGCCCAAACUCCUACGGGAGGCAGCAGUGGGGAAUCUUGCGCAAUGGGCGAAAGCCUGACGCAGCCAUGCCACGUGAAUGAUGAAGGUCUUAGGAUUGUAAAAUUCUCUCACCGGGGACGAUAAUGACGGUACCCGGACAAGAAGCCCCGGCUAGCUUCGUGCCAGCCGCCGCCGUAAAAC